UACGUAGGGUGCGAGCGUUAAUCGGAAUUACUGGGCGUAAAGCGCGUGUAGGCGGAUGAGCAAGUCUGCUGUGAAAGCUCCUGGCUUAACCGGGAGUGGUCGGUGGAAACUGCUCGUCUGGAGGACGGUAGAGGUAGGUAGAAUUCCCGGUGUAGUGGUGAAAUGCGUAGAGAUCGGGAGGAAUACCUGUGGCGAAGGCGGCCUACUGGGCCGGACCUGACGCUGAGACGCGAAGGCGUGGGGAGCGAACGGG
rnacentral:rRNA from 1 species